rnacentral:rRNA from 1 species
GAUGAACGCUGGCGGCGUGCCUAAUACAUGCAAGUCGAGCGAAUGGAUUAAGAGCUUGCUCUUAUGAAGUUAGCGGCGGACGGGUGAGUAACACGUGGGUAACCUGCCCAUAAGACUGGGAUAACUCCGGGAAACCGGGGCUAAUACCGGAUAACAUUUUGAACCGCAUGGUUCGAAAUUGAAAGGCGGCUUCGGCGGUCCCUUAUGGAUGGACCCGCGUCGCAUUAGCUAGUUGGUGAGGUAACGGCUCACCAAGGCAACGAUGCGUAGCCGACCUGAGAGGGUGAUCGGACACACUGGGACUGAGACACGGCCCAGACUCCUACGGGAGGCAGCAGUAGGGAAUCUUCCGCAAUGGACGAAAGUCUGACGGAGCAACGCCGCGUGAGUGAUGAAGGCUUUCGGGUCGUAAAACUCUGUUGUUAGGGAAGAACAAGUGCUAGUUGAAUAAGCUGGCACCUUGACGGUACCUAACCAGAAAGCCACGGCUAACUACGUGCCAGCCGCCGCCGUAA